AGAUGGAGGUUUUAAUCCCAGUAUAAACCAGUCUGUAGAAGCUGAAGCUUUUAAUCCCAGUAUGAAACAGUAUGUAGCAGCUGGAACUUUUAUUCGCAGUAUAAACCAGUUUGUAGUAGCUGAAGCUU